ACACGUAGGGGGCGAGCGUUAUCCGGAAUUACUGGGCGUAAAGAGUGCGUAGGUGGCUGCUCAAGCGCGGGGUUUAAGGCGACGGCCCAACCGUCGACCGCCCCGCGAACUGGUCGGCUUGAGUACAGGAGAGGAAGGCGGAAUUCCUAGUGUAGCGGUGAAAUGCGUAGAUAUUAGGAGGAACACCGGUGGCGAAGGCGGCCUUCUGGACUGUCGCUGACACUGAGGCACGAAAGCGUGGGUAGCAAACAGGAUUAGAUACCCUGGUAGUCCACGCCGUAAACGAUGAGCACUAGGUGUCGGGCCCGUGAGGACCCGGUGCCGCAGCUAACGCAUUAAGUGCUCCGCCUGGGGAGUACGCACGCAAGUGUGAA
rnacentral:rRNA from 1 species